ensembl:lncRNA
GUCAGGUGUGUUUUACGAUAAUAAUUUGGUCCUCUAUUAUCUUUGGUGACAUUUGAGUUCUGGGAGAGUGUUAAAUAAUUUUUAAUGUUGAAUUCUUUGUGAUGAGAAAUUAAAAUUAUAACCUAACAUAGAACAUUUUGUUUUAAUAUCUCUUGUAUUUUAAUUAAUUUAAGGUACAUCUCAAUUAAUAUCCUGCAAAACUGAACUGUUGUUUAUUUUUUCAAAACAAAGUUUUGAGAUCUGCUUGAAAAGAAGUUUUCCUGGCAUCUCUCUGACUCAAGUGAAUACAGUGAGAGGAGUUUGAAAAGAUGGACUGUGACCAUGAGGAUGAACGCAGUGGCCAGUCACCAACUGGAUCGGAAUCCAACUUUCGUGAAGAUAAGCUGCAAGAUAGUUCAGUUCUUAGUACAUCAGCUUUUCAGCACACUGGUAAGACUUUUCUAUUCACUUUUAAUACUUCAGUAUAGAGGAAAAGAACAACUAAAAGUGUGGUUUAUUUAUUUUACAGCAUCAUCUCUUGUAAAAGACUUGGAAUCUACUAGAACAUGUCUAAAGGAUAGUGAAUUAUCACCAACUGAUGAACUUUCUGGGAAGGAAAACUUGUGUCUUAUUUCCCCUCUUAGCAAAUCGAAACCACUAGCAUUUGAUGUGCAUAUCAAAGAAGUCCCAACAGAUUUGAAAAAUCCAUUUCAGAAUGUUCUAAACCCACCUGGCAGUGACAUCAGCAACGCUUUUCCUGUCUGCGUUCAACUACCCACAAACCAUCUUAAAAAGUCACAUAUCACUGCUUAUAAACCAACACACCAUCAUCGCAAAAUCAGCCGGUCCUCCACCUCCACACUGAGUCGUAUGAGCCUGAAAGCCCCUGUUGAAGACCUGUGUGCAUCCUUUCUGUUGGCGUGUUUGUUCUGCAAGUUUUGGGAUUGCAUGCUGGCCGUUGGUGAUGGAUGUCAAUUCUGCGUGGCCUCUAUCUGUUCGUCCUUCUGCUCUAACGCAUGCUGUUGCGACCCUUCCAAUCUGGAGGACUUUAUAGAUUUUUGCACAUGUUGCAGCUGCACUGAAUUCAUGGAGGCAUGCGGCUGCAGGUGUGGAGAAAACGCCUUUGACUGCUCCAUUUGCGAUCUUUGUCUAGAGACGACUGAAUGUCUGGAACUAGGCAUGGAACUCUCCCAGCUUCUGUUUCACUAG